CUUGGGGAAAAAAUUCCAUCUGGGGCUCUCUGCAGUACAAGGCCUUGUACUGCAGAGAGCCCCAGAUGGAAUUUUUUCC